CCCACCUGUUCCUAUAGCAUAGUCUUCUGCACCUUAUCAUGAACAGUUGUAAUUUGUUUUUCUAAUCUGUUACAUAAUUACAAUUUUUUCAUCUCCUCCAAGAUCAUGAAUUGAUAUCGCCUCUUUUAAUCACUAUGCUUUUUACUCUGUUGAAGUUGUUUUCACUGUGAUUGUUAUGUAUUUUAUAUUGUGGUAUUUUAUACUGUGUAUUUUAUAUUGCUGCAUUUUAUUGUAUGUGUUGGGCUUGGCCCCAUGUAAGCCGCCCCGAGUCCCCUCGGGGAGAUGGGGUGGGAUAUAAAUAAAGUUAUCAUCAUCAUCAUCAUCAUCAUCAUCAUCAUCGGUUGGACAAGGCCUCAAGGGAACUAGCCUUGGAAAUCUACUUUGGGCAAGUUGCAUUUUCUUAUGGGAAAACCUCCUCUGACUAAAUUUUGCCAAUAAAACCCUAUGGUGUGAUCUAUCAAUUGGAUUUACCUUGAAGACAUAUCUCAACAACAAACUAUCUGAAUGAAAUACUUCUCUUCGUUCUUCUUCCUCCCUAUUCAGAAAUACAAUAAAGUGAGAGUCUACAAAAAUAAGUUCACAUUAAUUUACAAGUCAAUAGUUUGAGAAAACUAUUGACUUGUAAAUUAAUGUGAAUGAAACAAAGUACCACUUAAUUUUCACUUAAUUCACUCAGAGAAUUGGGGGUGUAUUCAUUUUUAAAAAAUGCAUAAAGUUCAGUCCCUAUGCCAGAUAAUCUGGGAUAAACAGAAAACCUGGGAUCAGAUCCUGGGAUAUAGGGCCUGUGGAAGGGGCCUGAGUAGCUCAGAGAGAGAGUUUCCCCAUUUAGGCCAGCCACUGAAAAUACACCUGUAUCUGGCAGAAGCGUGCUGCAGAGAAGCAGUCACGCAAAGGAGCUGUACCCUACACAAUUUGGCAGGUUUCCAUGUUUAAUGGGCAACCCUUCCUGCUCAGAUAUGGAGCCACUCUGCACAGUUAUAGUAGUUUUGUAUCACUUGAAUGACAAUGGACCUUCACUUAGAAACCUGGGAUUUGUAGUUUGGAGAGGCAAAAUACUUGAAUUUGAGGAAAUCCCAAUUCUGUACUUUAAUAGGCACAUUCUAAAUACCUCAUAAACCCGCAGAUUCGUGUGUGUAUGUAUGUGCCUUCAAGUUCCUAUAACGUAUGACAUCCCAUGAAUUGUAUAGGGUUUUCUUAGGGAAGUAGUGUUCAGAGGUAGCUUUGCUAGUUGCUUCUUCUGAAAAAUAGCCUAUUCUGCCUGGUAUUCAUUGGUGGUCUCCAUCCAGGGCCAAUCUUGCUUAGAGGUCAGUUGAGGUCUGGUGCCUCUGUGGUAUGUAGGCGUCCAUAGGAUGGAUCCAUGGCAAUUAUGGUUGGAGCAGACUGUUGUGAUGGUGCAGGGUUGAUGAAGGGUCCAUCUACUCAAUAAUAAUAAUAAUAAUAAUAAUAAUAACAACAACAACAACAACAACAACAAUAACAGA
rnacentral:lncRNA from 1 species